rnacentral:lncRNA from 1 species
GAGCUGUAGACCAGAGCUGUUCCUAUUCGGCCAUCUUGGCUCCUUAUUCUCAUUACCUUCUUGAGUUGUGGCUCAGACACUACAACAGAGCUCUGUCACCUCUUUCUAAAAGCUGGGAAAUGGUUAUUGUCAACGCCAGCCCCAUUUUGGAGGCACCUGGUUGCAGGGGACCACAGCUAGGGACAACAUGGUGAGGAGCAGCAAAGAAGAAACG